UACGUAGGGUGCGAGCGUUAAUCGGAAUUACUGGGCGUAAAGCGUGCGUAGGUGGUUCGUUGUGUCUGUGGUGAAAGCCCCGGGCUUAACCUGGGAAUGGCCAUGGAAACUGGCGAGCUGGAGUCUGGCAGAGGGGGGUGGAAUUCCGCGUGUAGCAGUGAAAUGCGUAGAGAUGCGGAGGAACACCGAUGGCGAAGGCAGCCCCCUGGGCUAAGACUGGCGCUGAGGCACGAAAGCGUGGGGAGCAAACAGG
rnacentral:rRNA from 1 species